rnacentral:rRNA from 1 species
GACAUAAGGCAACUAGCACAAUCAAUAAUCACCACCACCACCACCCUAAACCCAGCUUUCUUGUACAAAGUGUUACACGACCGUACCGCAAACCGACACUGGUGCGCGAGAUGAGUAUUCUAAGGCGCUUGAGAGAACUCAGGAGAAGGAACUCGGCAAAUUGACACCGUAACUUCGGAAGAAGGUGUGCCUUUAGUAGGUGAACCUGUACAAGGGGAGCCCAAUGAGGUUGCAAAAAAUCGGUGGCUGCGACUGUUUAAUAAAAACACAGCACUCUGCAAACACGAAAGUGGACGUAUAGGGUGUGACGCCUGCCCGGUGCUGGAAGAUUAAAUGAUGGGGUGCAAGCUCUUGAUUGAAGUCCCAGUAAACGGCGGCCGUAACGAUAACGGUCCUAAGGUAGCGAAAUUCCUUGUCGGGUAAGUUCCGACCUGCACGAAUGGCGUAACGAUGGCCACACUGUCUCCUCCUGAGACUCAGCGAAGUUGAAAUGUUUGUGAUGAUGCAAUCUCCCCGCGGAAAGACGGAAAGACCCCAUGAACCUUUACUGUAGCUUUGUAUUGGACUUUGAACAGAUCUGUGUAGGAUAGGUGGGAGGCUUUGAAGUGUGGUCGCUAGAUCGCAUGGAGCCAACGUUGAAAUACCACCCUGGUGUGUUUGAGGUUCUAACCUAGGCCCGUAAUCCGGGUCGGGGACAGUGCAUGGUAGGCAGUUUGACUGGGGCGGUCUCCUCCCAAAGCGUAACGGAGGAGUUCGAAGGUACGCUAGGUACGGUCGGACAUCGUGCUAAUAGUGCAAUGGCAUAAGCGUGCUUAACUGCGAGACUGACAAGUCGAGCAGAUGCGAAAGCAGGACAUAGUGAUCCGGUGGUUCUGUAUGGAAGGGCCAUCGCUCAACGGAUAAAAGGUACUCUGGGGAUAACAGGCUGAUACCGCCCAAGAGUUCAUAUCGACGGCGGUGUUUGGCACCUCGAUGUCGGCUCAUCUCAUCCUGGGGCUGUAGCCGGUCCCAAGGGUAUGGCUGUUCGCCAUUUAAAGAGGUACGUGAGCUGGGUUUAAAACGUCGUGAGACAGUUUGGUCCCUAUCUUCCGUGGGCGCUGCAGAUUUGAGGAAGCCUGCUCCUAGUACGAGAGGACCGGAGUGGACACACCUCUGGUGUAUCGGUUGUCACGCCAGUGGCAUUGCCGAGUAGCUAUGUGUGGAAGAGAUAACCGCUGAAAGCAUCUAAGCGGGAAACUCGUUUCAAGAUGAGAUCUGCCGGGGCCUUGAGCCCCCUAAAGAGUCGUUCAAGACCAGGACGUUGAUAGGUCGGGUGUGGAAGCGCAGUAAUGCGUUAAGCUAACCGAUACUAAUUGCUCGUGCGGCUUGAUC